AAAAUUGUAUUCUAACUAAAAAAAACAUAAAAAAAAAUAUUUUCCAUUUGAAUUCGAAUUAAACUUUGAACUCUUUUCAGCAUCUUGAUGAUCAUUAUUAUUCAUAAAUCCAUAAAUCAAUUCGAUCAAUCAAUUCGAUCAAUCAAUCAAUCAAAAAAAAAAUCUUAUCCAUCUAAUAAUAUUAUUAGACAACAAGUGAUGCUAUUGUGUAUGUGUGUGUGUUUGAGUGUGCUUUGAAAAUGUGAAAUGAAAUGUAUGUUUCAUCAUCAUCAUCAACAACAACAACAACAUUGACGUGACUUUUUUUCAGUGUAAUGUAUACAAAGUGAAAAAAAAGUGUUAUCGUUUUUUAUUUGAUUUUCAUUUUCAUUCUAACAUUCGAAAUUGCAAAAACAUUCACGAUCAUCAUCAUCAAUUUGUUUGUUUCAUAUUUUUUUUCUGUUUGUUUGUUUGUCUGUGCGUUUUACUAUUCUAUUCUGUGGAUAGUUUAUUUUUUUUCCCAUUUGAAUGUUUUCAACGACAACGAAAAACAUGCAUUUGACAAUGGUGUAAAAAAGGUUUUCAUAUUGAACAUUGAUUUUGUUUUUGAUACGCACACGCACCACCUGUCCAUUUACAAUCAAUAUAAGGAAUCAAAUCAUCACUACAUCAAUCGAAUAUAAUGAUG